GUCUGCUUCAAGCCCGGGAGUUUGAGAGGAAGGUCUGCGUUGUGUCCGGGUUCAGGCCCAAGCUCCGGCUUGCUGAGACACACCUGAUGGGAGGCCCAGCUUUUCCUCCUCAGACUUCAGAGCUUCCGGAAAAGUCAAAGGCAGUGCCCCCUUUGACAUGCAAAGUGUCUUAAGGGCGGAAGGAUUCUCGAAGAGCUGGAUGAUGGCCGUGCCCGGCCCGAAGCUGUUCCAGGCCGUGCAGUUGUAGUGUGUCUGAAAGUCGGCCUCCAUGACGUUGUUGAUGGCCCAGCCCAGCUCUCGCCCUGCAACAAACACCAGUUCACCCUGUUGCCUGGAACCUUGGCCUGGAACCUCCAGCCUAGGAGGAAAGUGGCUCUGGACAUGAUGGAGAUGUAUGCCGGGAACAUUCGGACAUGCCCAGGGACGUUCUUUAAAGUGCAGAUUCUUGGGGCUUAACUCCUAACUAUGAAUCUCCAAGGAAGAGAUCCAGGAGUCUCUAUCUUCAUAACCAUCCCACGGACGCAGGGAUCAAUCCUCCCAGCUCUGCGAGGAAAGCCCCCGGGAGCAGAGCCGCCGGCUGCCCAGGCGGCCGUGGUAAUGAAGUGUCCCUGGGCAGCCCUGGAGUUAGCCAAAUGGUCAUUAAAUGUGAUGAGGGGUUUGACGGUUAAUGGGCAUGGAAGGAAUUAAUGGCUCAUGGUGUGGGGAAGAGAAAGGAGGGUGGAGGGGAGCUGGGAGGAGGAGGCAGAAGCAGGGGGCGGAGGGGCAGGGGCCAGGCAGGGCAGGGAGGGGAAGAGGGAGCAGGGAAAAGAUGGGAGAGGCCCAGGAAAGGGAAGGGGACGAGGGACAGAGAGCAGCCGGGGCGCCCCGACCUUUCACACCUGUUGCUACAGUCACCUCACAGCCACCCUAUCAGGCGAGGACACCGCCCCCGUUUUGAGGAUGAGGAACCCGAGGUUGGAAACGCUAAGCACGUGGCUCGGGGUCACGCAACAAGUCCAGCCACCAGAUCUCCUCCCCAGCACAGGUCCGUGUGUCCCUCCCACGGCCACCGAACCGGCCAGCUGUUCUGCAGGGAGAAGUGGGUCUUGAUCUCAAGCACUGGCCUCCUCCUCCCCCAAAUCCCAGGACCCUAGAAGCACUCUGGCUUCGACUCCAAAAGCACUGUUGCCCUCCCCUUGCCCCAGCCCUGCUCUCCCGCCAGAGCCAGAGUCCUUCCCCCCCAGCCAACCCCAGCACUCAAGACAGGCA